UUAUCUUCCUAUCUCUUUUACAGGCAUAUCUCGGAGAUAUUGCGGGUUUAGUUCCAAACCACUGCAAUAAAGGGAAUAUCGCAGUAAAGAGAGUCAUGCGACUUUUUUGGUUUCCCAGUGCAUAUAAAAGUUAUGUUUACACUAUACUGUAGUCUAUUAAGUGUGCAACAGCAUUAUGUCUAAAAAAAAA